rnacentral:rRNA from 1 species
AUUGAACGCUGGCGGCAGGCUUAACACAUGCAAGUCGAGCGGAGAUGAGGUGCUUGCACCUUAUCUUAGCGGCGGACGGGUGAGUAAUGCUUAGGAAUCUGCCUAUUCGUGGGGGACCACAUUCCGAAAGGAAUGCUAAUACCGCAUACGUCCUACGGGAGAAAGCAGGGGACCUUCCGACCUUGUGCUAAUAGGAGAGCCUAAGUCGGAUUAGCUAGUUGGUGGGGUAAAGGUCUACCAAGGCGACGAGCUGUAGCGGGUCUGAGAGGAUGAUCCGCCACACUGGGACUGAGACACGGCCCAGACUCCUACGGGAGGCAGCAGUGGGGAAUAUUGGACAAUGGGGGGAACCCUGAUCCAGCCAUGCCGCGUGUGUGAAGAAGGCCUUAUGGUUGUAAAGCACUUUAAGCGAGGAGGAGGCUACUGAGACUAAUACUCUUGGAUAGUGGACGUUACUCGCAGAAUAAGCACCGGCUAACUCUGUGCCAGCCGCCGCGGUAA